rnacentral:rRNA from 1 species
GCGGGUGCUAACGUCCGUCGUGGAGAGGGAAACAACCCUGACCACCAAUUAAGGUCCCCAAAUAAUGGCUAAGUGUGAAAGGAUGUGGGAUUGCUUUGACAAUGAGGAGGUUGGCUUAGAAGCAGCCAUCCUUUAAAGAAAGCGUAACAGCUCACUCAUCAAGCGAUCCUGCGCCGAAAAUGUAACGGGGCUAAAGCCAUUUACCGAAAUUGUGGGCUCGAAAGAGCGGUAGCGGAGCGUUCCGUAAGCCUGCGAAGGUGCACUGUGAGGUGUGCUGGAGGUAUCGGAAGUGAGAAUGUUGACAUGAGUAGCGACAAAGCGGGUGAGAGACCCGCUCGCCGAAAAUCCAAGGGUUCCUGCGUAAAGCUAAUCUGCGCAGGGUUAGCCGGCCCCUAAGGCGAGGCCGAAAGGCGUAGCCGAUGGACGGCAGGUUAACAUUCCUGCGCUACUGUGGAGAUCAAUCAUGAGUGCGGAUCGGUCAGCCCUGCGUAAGCACCAGCUUGCUGAGGCCCUUGAGGCCGCUGCAGGGGGCUCCGGUCCCGAGAAAAGCUCAUGUGGCAAAGCAGUACCCGUACCAAAACCGACACAGGUAGAUGAGGUGAAUAACCUAAGGCGCUCGAGAUAACGGAAGUGAAGGAACUAGGCAAAUUGACCCCGUAAGUUCGCGAUAAGGGGGCCCUACCCCUCGGGGAGGGCGCAGAGAAAAGGCUCUGGCGACUGUUUAUCAAAAACACAGCACUGUGCUAACUCGUAAGAGGACGUAUACAGUGUGACGCCUGCCCAAUGCCGGAAUGUCACGGAAGCAGGUUAGGUUUAUCCGAAGCUUGUGACCUAAGCACCGGUCAAUGGCGGCCGUAACUAUGACGGUCCUAAGGUAGCGAAGUUCCUUGUCGGGUAAGUUCCGACGCGCAUGAAUGGCGUAACGAUUGACACACUGUCUCAACUACCAACUCGGUGAAAUAGAAGACGCGGUGAAGAUACCGCGUACCCGCAGCAAGACGGAAAGACCCCGUGCACCUUUACUAUAGCUUCACACUGGCAUUCGCCAAGGCAUGUGUAGGAUAGGUGGUAGGCUUUGAAACUCUCACGCCAGUGGGGGUGGAGCCAUCCUUGAAAUACCACCCUGGAUAUGUUUUAGUUCUAACCUCGUCUUGUGAAUCCAAGCGAGAGACAGUGGCUGUUGGGCAGUUUGGCUGGGGCGGUCUCCUCCCAAAGAGUAACGGAGGAGUACGAAGGUAUCCUAAUCCCGGUCGGAAAUCGGGAGGUUAGUACAAUGGUAUAAGGAUGCUUGACUGCGAGACAGACACGUCGAGCAGGUGCGAAAGCAGGUCAUAGUGAUCCGGUGGUUCUGUAUGGAAGGGCCAUCGCUCAACGGAUAAAAGGUACUCCGGGGAUAACAGGCUGAUACCGCCCAAGAGUUCAUAUCGACGGCGGUGUUUGGCACCUCGAUGUCGGCUCA